rnacentral:rRNA from 1 species
AGAGUUUGAUCCUGGCUCAGGAUGAACGCUAGCGGCAGGCUUAACACAUGCAAGUCGAGGGGUAGAAGCAGCUUGCUGCUUUGAGACCGGCGCACGGGUGCGUAACGCGUAUACAAUCUACCUUUUACAGAGGGAUAGCCCAGAGAAAUUUGGAUUAAUACCUCAUAGUAUUUUCGAAUCGCAUGAUUUGAUUAUUAAAGUUCCAACGGUAAAAGAUGAGUAUGCGUCCCAUUAGCUAGAUGGUAAGGUAACGGCUUACCAUGGCAACGAUGGGUAGGGGUCCUGAGAGGGAGAUCCCCCACACUGGUACUGAGACACGGACCAGACUCCUACGGGAGGCAGCAGUGAGGAAUAUUGGACAAUGGGCGCAAGCCUGAUCCAGCCAUGCCGCGUGCAGGAAGACGGUCCUAUGGAUUGUAAACUGCUUUUAUACAGGAAGAAACACACCCUCGUGAGGGUACUUGACGGUACUGUAUGAAUAAGCAUCGGCUAACUCCGUGCCAGCAGCCGCGGUAAUACGGAGGAUGCAAGCGUUAUCCGGAAUCAUUGGGUUUAAAGGGUCCGUAGGCGGCCAAAUAAGUCAGUGGUGAAAGCCCAUCGCUCAACGAUGGAACGGCCAUUGAUACUGUUUGGCUUGAAUUAUUAGGAAGUAACUAGAAUAUGUAGUGUAGCGGUGAAAUGCUUAGAGAUUACAUGGAAUACCAAUUGCGAAGGCAGGUUACUACUAAUAUAUUGACGCUGAUGGACGAAAGCGUGGGGAGCGAACAGGAUUAGAUACCCUGGUAGUCCACGCCGUAAACGAUGGAUACUAGCUGUUCGGAGCAAUCUGAGUGGCUAAGCGAAAGUGAUAAGUAUCCCACCUGGGGAGUACGUUCGCAAGAAUGAAACUCAAGGAAUUGACGGGGGCCCGCACAAGCGGU